CUUCUUCUUCCUUCCUUCUCUUUUCCUCUUUCUUUCUCUUCUUUUCUUCUCUUUCUUUUCCUUUUCCUUCCUGAUAUCUCUCACUCUCUCUUCUUCUAUUCUUAUCCUCUUCUUCUUUUCUUUCUCUACCACACAAUAUAUAUAUAAUAUAUAAUAUUAAGUAAUAACAAAAUAUCCCAAUUGAUAUUUCAUCCUCCAACACCAAUUGACCAAUUAUUAAUGUUACCAAAAAUAUCCUCUCUUGUAAUUAUUAAUAUUGGUCUGUCUCUUUAUUAAUAAUCAAUCUCUUCAGAGUUCACCGGUUACUC
rnacentral:lncRNA from 1 species